rnacentral:rRNA from 1 species
UACGGGGGGGGCUAGCGUUGUUCGGAAUUACUGGGCGUAAAGGGCGCGUAGGCGGUCUGCUAAGUUGGAUGUGAAAACUCUGGGCUUAACCCAGAGCCUGCAUUCAAUACUGACAGGCUAGAGUUCUGGAGGGGAUAGCGGAAUUCCUGGUGUAGCGGUGAAAUGCGUAGAUAUCAGGAGGAACACCGGUGGCGAAGGCGGCUAUCUGGACAGAGUCUGACGCUGAGGCGCGAAAGCUAGGGGAGCAAACAGGAUUAGAUACCCUGGUAGUCCUAGCCCUAAACGAUGGAUACUUGGUGUAACUGGGAUUGAAUCCAGUUGUGCCGAAGCUAACGCAUUAAGUAUCCCGCCUGGGGAGUACGGUCGCAAGGCUGAA